rnacentral:rRNA from 1 species
UUGGUUGAUCCUGCCAGUAGUGUAUGCUUCUCCUAAAGACUAAGCCAUGCAUGCCUUCGAAUACGAGGAAGCAAUUCUCUCUGAAUCUGCGAACGGCUCCGCAAACCAGUUGUAAACUAUAGCAAGCAGGCUCGUUGUCGGCCUUCACGGGUUGGCUUCGGGCGAUAUGGAUAACCCUGGUAAUUCUGAGGCUAAUACAUGAACGUAAAACCUGGUAGACUGGGCUCCGGCUCGGGAAGCUGGGGGAUGUGUGAUUGCAGGCUUGGGUAACACCGGGAAAGGGCACACGUCCAGACCGCGCUAUAAAGGAUGGGACCCCUUCGGGGGACCUACCCCAGCGGCUCUUGCUGUGUGCUUCUGACCUAUCAACUAGACGGCAGCAUAAGGGACAUGCUAUGGUGACAACGGGUACAGAGGAUUAGGGUUCGAUCCUGGAGAGUGGGCCUGAGAGAUUGCUCAUACUUCUAAGGAAGGCAGCAGGCGCGCAACGUUCCCCUUGGGCAAUGCCCGAGGGCGUUAGGGGACAUAUGAAUG